rnacentral:misc_RNA from 1 species
AAGUCGUAACAAGGUUUCCGUAGGUGAACCUGCGGAAGGAUCAUUCACAAUGAGUGUUUAAUGGCACUUCAAAUCCAUUACCCACCUUGUGUGCAUUGUCGGGGGGAGGACUCUCAAUCUCUCUCUCUCUCUCUCUCCCUCACUCAGAGGGAGGAGGAGGAGGGGAGAAAGGAGGGGAGGUUCCUCUCUUCUUUCUAUACACACUGUUCUCAGUAUCAGUCUACUUCAAUUGAGUACAAAACUCGAAUACAACUUUCAACAACGGAUCUCUUGGCUCUC